UGCAGCAUGUUCUGCCCCUGACCUGCUCAUGAGGUGUGCCAUGGUAAGUGCAUUUGCUUCAUCACGUGCUUGAGUUGGCAUCUGAUCAUAAAACAGAGACCACAUCAGGGUGCCUGUGUAAGAGGAGGGGGAGCUGGUCCUGGGCAAGCCUGGCUUAGCCGUGUUUUGCUUGGCAGAUUUCAACAGUGAGGAGGAAGGGACAGAGUUCCUAUUUUCCUGUUUAAGUGUUGAAAGUUGUCAGCAGUUUGCUCCAUCAGAGCCUCUGCAUUACCUCUGUAGGUACAAAACCCUCCACAGCCAGCCAGGCAGGGCCAGCUGGGAAGGUGCAGGAGAAGCACCUGGGCUUCAGGUGUUUGUGAGAGCUCAGGGAAAGUCCAAACACCCAGGUCUGCCACAUGGCCUGCAAAUGCGGCUCAGCUGUGCUGCCUUUUUCCACUUCUCACAGCCCUCCUGCCUCUAUUCUCCCAGCUUCAGGCAUGGGGUCUGCAGCCCCGAGGUGCCUCAGCAUCUCUGCAGCUUCAGAGCAUGAGAACAGCUGGAAGGGAACAGAGCAGGCUGUCCCCCUGCAGAAGGUGCUCUGCUCUCCGUGCACUACCAGCUUGCAGCCUCGGAGCACUGUUGUGCCCUUUGCCAGAUCCAUGAUGUUCACAGGUGUGGGGCAGCCAAGCAGGAAUACCCUCAUGAACAAAACUCCUCCCUGUUGGCUCUUUGCUACCCUCGUUACCUAAUUCCGUCUGCAGAGAGCCUUGGAAAAGACCUGUCUGGGGGGAAGCUCGGCAGUUUUGGGCAGCGACGUCUCUGUGUGAGUCCAUUCCAAUGUAGAUUUUUAGAAAAUGGCCCAAACGACUGUUUCUUUUCCUAGAAUGCCUGGAUGCAGGGAGUGCAUCCCCACCUCCUCCACCUCGGGCCGUCACCGCCGCUCCAGCAGCGGCCCAGCGGGGGAUGCUCGCCCUUCCCGGGAGGAAUUGCCUGGGCUCUCCCCGUGCUGCCGCGGCGCUUGCGGCAGCGGAGCGGGGGUCCCGGAGGGUCUGUCCCCUGUGUCCCGGCUCCCCGCUGCUGCCGUGCGGCGCGGCGGGGCCAGCAGAGGGAGCGCACACGACGCGCUGCUCCCGGCGGGGCCGGGGGUGCUCGGGGCCAGGAAAGAAAUUCCCAAUCCGCCCCGCCUCGCCCUUUCCCCACCCCGGCCGCAGCCCGCGCCAAUGUGAUUUUUCCAUCGUUUCACGUUGAAAGGCGGCUUGGGCAGCUCCUGCUGCGGGGCUGAGCCCAUGCCCUUAAGGGGUGUGAGUUUUGGCUUUGUCCUCCAGAGCAUCUCUUCUCUAACCACACUACAAAAUCCACAAAUACCUUUUUAAGCAGAUACCAAAUCUAGGAAUGUCACCCCCAGUAUGCCAUGGAUGCUUUAAAUGUGGCUAUCACCUCUGCAGCCCUUGUGAGCAUCUCUGAUUACAAGUGCUGGAGCUUUCAUGCUCUGAUGGGAUAUGCAGCCCAGAGAGUGACGACUGAACUCAGUUCCAAACUCUAAUGGCCCUUGAUGCAGAAUUGGUUGGAAUAAGUCUUUUGCAUGAAAAGGAUCAAAAUUUAAAGAGAAAAUCAGGUCUUACAAAGAAAAUAAAAGUCUUGAAAAGACUUAGUCAUAAAAAAAAGAAAUUUAUUUCUGCAUCUGCCACUCAGAAAGCACCAGCUGCUUUAUAGACAAAAUCCACCUCGAAGAGCCUGUGAUGUGAGACCCCCAGACUCACAAACCAAUGGGGAGCUCUUCCACCUGCACAGAAAUCCAUGGAUUUAAGGGGAGCCUGCACGAACCAUUUUGCAGGAGUAGACCUGAAGCCAGUCACACAGAUGGGCAAUGUGACAUUGGUUUAUCCAUUGCCCUUCAUUAUAUUCUUAGCCCCCCCUCCCCGUGCCCUAGCUAAUCUUUAUUUUCCAUGUACAAAGAGGGAAAAUGGCUACUCCAGAUGUCUCUAAGCUCCUCUCAAAAGCCAUUAUCUGACAGGUCUCUCUAGAGGACUGUGCUAACUGUGGGAGUGUUGCUUAGUGGAUAAUAGUACCUAUCCUCUAUUUUCAUGCUUCUAACAGUGAAAGAUCUGGAGUUGUCUAAUGCAUUUUCAAGCAAAUCACCAAGCCAAGCAAUAGCAGGGAUGAUGGGGAAGGGGGGGGGGAAAGCAAGUGUUGGAAGGACCUGGGCAUUUUUGUGGAGGAUUAACACUAAUCAAGCUUUGAUCUGUAGAGCUUUUUUUUUCUUCUUUCCUUUCCUGACAAGCCCCAAACAUUGCCUGCCCUGUGAAUGUUUCUGGCUCUCCACUUUUGUGUUCUUACUGUCUUUCUCUGACCUCUCUAAGACUUGGCUUGCAGCUGCCAAGUUUCUCCUCCAUCCAGGCUGUGAAUCUGUGGGUUGUUUCACUCCCAAAUUCUCUUCAACUGCACCUUCUGAAUUUGGAGGAAGAGACACUCAAAAGGAAGUAAAAGGAAUGGUCUCUGGCUUGCAGAAGUCCCAAGUGUUUAGUGAGAUGGCAAUACCUUCAUACAGUGAUUUCUUCUGCCACUUCCCAUUUCUGAGUGCAGUCCCAUCAGAAGAAGGUAGAGGGAAUCCACGUGAAGGGGAAAGGAAGAAGCUUGUGUUAUUCCUCUCCUGUGCACUCUCAGAAACCUGAGGCUCUUUGGAGGCUGACACAUGGCAAGCCUGAAACAGGCUCAUCCUGGAGGAGCCUGUGUUUGCCAGUGCAAUCCCAGACUGUGCCAUUCUCUCUCAUAUUCUCGUGGUGGGGCUGAAGCAUUUUGUACCCUCAGCCAGGAGUCCUGGUAGUCCCAGCUGCACUCACUCCGUGCUGUGGCUGGGGCCAGCAACACAAGAGGAAUUGCAGCAGUGAUGGAAACUUGUUCCACUGAGCUGUAUAUGUAUUAAUCUCCUGUCCAAAUCCACCAGAAAGGCCCAAGUAUGUAUGCUGGGAUUUUAUGCUAAGGCUGGAGGGUGGAAAAAAACUUUGGGGCUAAGUCAAAUCCAUAUUGUUCUUCAGAGUCUGCCAGUAGACAGGGCUGUGUCAGGACACAAGGUGGGCAACACUCAAAGCAAGGGACUGCUCGAGGCAGCAAACCAGGCUGCAGUCUGUUCACCCAUUCAGGGCAGCAGGGCUGGCAUGCAGCAGUGGCAUCAAGGGAGAGCACUGCCUUGCAGAGGUGGGUAGCACUGUGUGCUUCUGGAAUUGUCCC